rnacentral:rRNA from 1 species
CCUACGGGAGUCUGCAGUGGGGAAUAUUGGACAAUGGGCGAAAGCCUGAUCCAGCCAUGCCGCGUGUGUGAAGAAGGCCUUCGGGUUGUAAAGCACUUUCAGUGGGGAAGAAAGCCUUGGGGCUAAUACCCUCGAGGAAGGACAUCACCCACAGAAGAAGCACCGGCUAACUCCGUGCCAGCAGCCGCGGUAAUACGGAGGGUGCGAGCGUUAAUCGGAAUUACUGGGCGUAAAGCGCGCGUAGGCGGUCUGAUAAGCCGGUUGUGAAAGCCCCGGGCUCAACCUGGGAACGGCAUCCGGAACUGUCAGGCUAGAGUGCAGGAGAGGAAGGUAGAAUUCCCGGUGUAGCGGUGAAAUGCGUAGAGAUCGGGAGGAAUACCAGUGGCGAAGGCGGCCUUCUGGACUGACACUGACGCUGAGGUGCGACAGCGUGGGUAGCAAACAGGAUUAGAUACCCGAGUAGUC